AUAUCAAUAAGCGGAGGAAAAGAAACCAACAGGGAUUGCCCUAGUAACGGCGAGUGAAGCGGCAACAGCUCAAAUUUGAAAUCUGGCUCUCGGGCCCGAGUUGUAAUUUGUAGAGGAUACUUUUGAUGCGGUGCCUUCCGAGUUCCCUGGAACGGGACGCCAUAGAGGGUGAGAGCCCCGUCUGGUUGGAUGCCAAAUCUCUGUAAAGUUCCUUCAACGAGUCGAGUAGUUUGGGAAUGCUGCUCUAAAUGGGAGGUAUAUGUCUUCUAAAGCUAAAUACCGGCCAGAGACCGAUAGCGCACAAGUAGAGUGAUCGAAAGAUGAAAAGCACUUUGAAAAGAGAGUUAAAAAGUACGUGAAAUUGUUGAAAGGGAAGCGUUUAUGACCAGACUUGGGCUUGGUUAAUCAUCUGGGGUUCUCCCCAGUGCACUUUUCCAGUCCAGGCCAGCAUCAGUUUUCCCCGGGGGAUAAAGGCGGCGGGAAUGUGGCUCUCUUCGGGGAGUGUUAUAGCCCACCGUGUAAUACCCUGGGGGGGACUGAGGUUCGCGCAUCUGCAAGGAUGCUGGCGUAAUGGUCAUCAACGA
rnacentral:rRNA from 1 species